UUACUGUAGGUGAACCUGCGGAAGGAUCAUUAUUGUAUAACCGAGGCGCGAGGGCUGUCGCUGACCCGAAAGGUCGUGCACGCCCGAGUGCCCUCACACACAUCCAUCUCACCCCUAUGUGCACCACCGCGUGGGUCCCCCUUUGGCUUGUUCGGAGGGGGGCUUACGUUUUCACACAAACUUUGUAUGCAGUGUAGAAUGUAUUUUUUGUUUUUGCGAUCACGCAAUCAAUACAACUUUCAACAACGGAUCUCUUGGCUCUC
rnacentral:misc_RNA from 1 species